CAGAACGAACGCUGGCGGCAGGCCUAAAACAUGCAAGUUGAACGGCCAUAGCAAUAUGGCAGUAGCGCAAGGGUGAGUAAUGUAUGGGAACGUAUCUUUUGGUGGGGAAUAUCUUUGGAAACGAAGAGCAAUACCGCAUAAGCCCUACGGGGGAAAGAUUUAUCGCCGAUUGAGCGGCCCAUAUUGGAUUAGCUAGUUGGUUAGGUAACGGCUGACCAAGGCUGUGAUCCAUAGCUGGUCCGAGAGGACGAUCAGCCACACUGGGACUGAGACACGGCCCAGACUCCUACGGGAGGCAGCAGUUAGGAAUAUUGGACAAUGGGGGCAACCCUGAUCCCAGCCAUGCCGCGUGAGUGUUAAGGCCUUCGGGUUGUAAAGCUCUUUUGUAUGGGAAAAUGAUGAUGGUACCAUAAGAAUAAGCACCGGCUAACUUCGUGCCAGCAGCCGC
rnacentral:rRNA from 1 species